CUCUGGGUCCAACCUCCCACCCGUGUUUAUUUUACCUUGUUGCUUCGGCGGGCCCGCCUUAACUGGCCGCCGGGGGGCUUACGCCCCCGGGCCCGCGCCCGCCGAAGACACCCUCGAACUCUGUCUGAAGAUUGUAGUCUGAGUGAAAAUAUAAAUUAUUUAAAACUUUCAACAACGGAUCUCUUGGUUCCGGCAUCGAUGAAGAACGCAGCGAAAUGCGAUACGUAAUGUGAAUUGCAAAUUCAGUGAAUCAUCGAGUCUUUGAACGCACAUUGCGCCCCCUGGUAUUCCGGGGGGCAUGCCUGUCCGAGCGUCAUUUCUGCCCUCAAGCACGGCUUGUGUGUUGGGCCCCGUCCUCCGAUCCCGGGGGACGGGCCCGAAAGGCAGCGGCGGCACCGCGUCCGGUCCUCGAGCGUAUGGGGCUUUGUCACCCGCUCUGUAGGCCCGGCCGGCGCUUGCCGAUCAACCCAAAUUUUUAUCCAGGUUGACCUCGGAUCAGGUAGGGAUACCCGCUGAACUUAAGCAUAUCAUUA
rnacentral:rRNA from 1 species